AGUGGCAUUAUCUUUCUUCCACAAUUGCAAUAUCAGCAUAAUACAACCUAAGCACAAUCUCAACCAGGUUGGUGACAUGAGUUCCGCUAAUACAAAGAGAAUGUCUUACUCGGGUGCCGAUGAAAAUAUGAAAUUGCUACGACAAACGUUUGGGUCCAAAGCAAUGGACAUACUGUGGUUGUAUUCAGAACUUCUUCAAGUUAAAGAAUCCACGAUUGUAAUAGAAUAUCCAGAAGCAAACCAAAUACACUUUGAAAGCUUACCAAGUUUAAAGAAAUUUUCUUGUGGAGAUAUCGUUGAGUGGCCAUCUUUAAAAAAUGUGAUCGUGAAUCAUUGUCCCAACAUAAGAAAGUGUGGUUUGGGAAAAACAAAAUCUGUGAUAUUGGAAAAUCAAGAGUCUCUAGCAAAUAUUUUUGAA